AGCUCCAAUAGCGUAUAUUAAAGUUGUUGCAGUUAAAAAGCUCGUAGUUGGAUUUCUGGUAGUGGGUAAGAGCUCGUUGCACGUUGCUCGCGUUCAUUGCCAUCCUUCUGUUAACCUAUCAGGGCAUUCUAUUGUCAGUUAGGGGCUCAGAUAUUUUACCUUGAGAAAAUUAGAGUGUUUCAGGCAGGCUUGUGCCCGGAUACAUUAGCAUGGAAUAAUGGAAUAGGACUUUAGCCUCUUCUGUUGGUCUGAGGGGUUGAAGUAAUGAUUAAUAGGGAUAGUUGGGGGCAUUAGUACUUAACUGUCAGAGGUGAAAUUCUCGGAUUUGUUAAAGACUAACUUAUGCGAAAGCAUUUGCCAAGGAUGUUU
rnacentral:rRNA from 1 species